AGUCAAAAAAAAAAAAAAAAUUUUCCUGCAUUAUCGUUAAAGUUAAUAUACUUCCAGUGUAGUAGUGAUAACUAGUUUUUAAAUUGUUUCAUAUUGGCUUCGUUAAAAGCCCUCCAAAGCUUUGUAGAGAAAUUAAUUUAAAAUGAGGAAUAUUAAAGUUUUAUGAGGCGGAAACAAAGUCCAAAACAAUUGCAACUUCUAGUAAAGGAAAGGGAAGAAAAAAAAAAAGUUUGAUAAAGCCGCAGAGGGACAUAUACCGAUUCUGUAAUUUAUGUGUGGGGUUAAUGUCAACGAACACAAAGUAUGCGGCCUUAGCGUCGUGUGCGACUUCUGCAAUGAGUGGUGUUGCCUAAGAUGCUCCACAGAGGAGGCUAAUAAAUUGGACUUGAAUUGCAGGCGAUGCAUUCCACUUAACCCUAUUCCAACAAAACUUCUAAAAAAAAUUUUAGGGUAAAAAAUUUUUCAGUUUCUUAGUAUUUAUUGUUUCUUUUGUUUGCAACAUUUACCGUAAAUAAUUGUCAUAAAAAUGGAUUUUGAAAUUUUUUUCAGAAAGGGUUGGGAUUUUGUACAUAAAUCAAAUUUUCAAAAUAUGUUUUACAUUCUACUUUAUAUGCAAAUAUUUUAUAGGAUAUAAAUAUAAAUUAAAUAAAAAUC